UACGGGGGGAGCAAGCGUUGUUCGGAUUUACUGGGCGUAAAGGGCGCGUAGGCGGCCAGCGCAAGUCAGUUGUGAAAUCUCCGAGCUUAACUCGGAAAGGUCAACUGAUACUGCGCGGCUAGAGUGCGGAAGGGGCAACUGGAAUUCUUGGUGUAGCGGUGAAAUGCGUAGAUAUCAAGGGAACACCUGCGGCGAAGGCGGGUUGCUGGGCCGACACUGACGCUGAUGCGCGAAAGCCAGGGGAGCGAACGGG
rnacentral:rRNA from 1 species